rnacentral:rRNA from 1 species
UACGGGGGGGGCAAGCGUUGUUCGGAAUUACUGGGCGUAAAGGGCGCGUAGGCGGUUCGAUAAGUCAGCUGUGAAAACCAUGGGCUUAACUCAUGGCCUGCAGUUGAGACUGUCGGGCUGGAGUGUGGGAGAGGAGAGUGGAAUUCCUGGUGUAGCGGUGAAAUGCGUAGAUAUCAGGAGGAACACCGGUGGCGAAGGCGG